rfam:Ochotona princeps cont2.343455, whole genome shotgun sequence.
GUGGCCAUGGAGGGCCUGCGGGUUGGGGUCUGACUUAUCUGGGAGGCAGCCUGCACCCUCGGGGCCCCAGGGGGUGGGGCCCCAGCAGAUGUCUGGGAUUGGUAGCCAGGGCCUGGAGCCGGAUGCCGAGAAGGAGGCCUGCAACUCAUUUCCCCAUUAGACGUUCUGAGAACACGUGCACCAGCUUCCAAGCUUUCUCCCUCCCGAACCGCCCUGAUUAGUGUGUGAAGAACUGGCACAUCUCCACGAGGUUGUAAGGAAGGUGAAAAGAUCGCUCUUAAUUAGAUUAAAAACAUUGUUUUCUUCCUGUGUCAUUUUGCCCUGAAAAUCAAGGCCAAUUUUUUCCUUUCUUCAUCCAAAAGCCUUCAGAAAGCUCCCUCUGCACCUCUCUGGAGGGUCAUAUUACAUUUUCCUGGGAACCUGCCCUGAACAUGUGCAGUGGGAGAUCUGGCCAGUGACU